rnacentral:rRNA from 1 species
CCUACGGGUGGCAGCAGUGAGGAAUAUUGGUCAAUGGGCGUGAGCCUGAACCAGCCAAGCCGCGUGAAGGAAGAAGGCGCCAGGCGUCGUAAACUUCUUUUGUCGGGGAACAAAGGGCGCCACGUGUGGCGUUUUGAGGGUACCGGAAGAAAAAGCAUCGGCUAACUCCGUGCCAGCAGCCGCGGUAAUACGGAGGAUGCGAGCGUUAUCCGGAUUUAUUGGGUUUAAAGGGAGCGUAGAUGGGUUGUUAAGUCUGUUGUGAAAUUUUGCGGCUCAACCGUAAAAUUGCGAUUGAUACUGGCUGGCUUGAGUACAGUUGAGGUAUGCGGAAUUCGUGGUGUAGCGGUGAAAUGCUUAGAUAUCACGAAGAACUCCGAUUGCGAAGGCAGCUUACGAAACUGCCACUGACGUUGAUGCUCGAAGGUGUGGGUAUCGAACAGGAUUAGAUACCCGAGUAGUC